ACUCAACUGAUGAGUCCCAAGUAGGAGGAAACAUGUGUCCUGGAU
rnacentral:hammerhead_ribozyme from 1 species